AUUUUAGAUAUUUUAGACAAGUGAUUUGGACCCAAUAAGGCGGCAUUUUUUGUAAAGGGAUAAUUUUUAUACAAUUUUCUAUAAACAUAUUGAAUAGUAGAUAUAUUCCAAUAAAGUUUAAAUUUUUAAUUUUUUUUUUCAAAAAGUCCUAAUGAUUUCAAAUAUAUUCCUGCUUUUAGUGUUCGUUAGAAAAAUGUAGUUAACCAUAAGGGCGCGUUUGGUUCGGUUUAUCUUGACAGAAUUACGGGCAAUCCCGUCAGGCUUACUGUGUUUGGUUCAUCCGGUAUGUAAUCUGUUCGGUAUUGCAGCAUUACAAAAAGUGUAAGAUUACAUCGAAAAUAUUACGGGGGGUGUAUCUUGUAUUACUAAAAGCGGCCAAUCUUACAUGUUAUAUAAAAUUGCAAGUUUACCCCUCCAACUCCCGAAACCCCUUCAAUAUGUCAUUUUAAAAUUUUAAUUUAAAAUUUUGAAUUGUCAACUUUUAAUUUUAAUUUUUAAUUUUCAAUUUUUAAUUUUCAAAUUUUAAAUUUAAUUUUUAAACUUGAAGUUUUAAAUUUUAAAUUUUAAUUUUUAAUUUUUAAAAAAUUAAAAAUUAAAAGUUACAUUUAAAUAAAAAGUUUUAAAUUUUAAAUUUUAAAUUUUGAAAUUCAAAUUUGUAUUUAAAUUCUAAAUUAUAAAUUUAGAUUUUAAAUUUAUAAAAUUCAUAUUUAAAUUUUUAUUUAAAACAUUAAAUUUUAUAUUUUUUGUUAGAAUUUAAAAUUUAAAAUUUAAAAUUUUAAAAAUUUAAAUUAUUUAAAAUAAAAUUUAGUAAAAAACUAAUAUUUGUAAACAGUAAAAUUUUUUUUUGUCAAAUAUGGCUAAAUGUAAUUUUGGAAUAGUCUAUAUUUUACUGUCACGGUUAUUGAAUUUUAUAAACUGAACCAUACAUAGUAAUGCUAUAAACACUACAAUCCAGCAUUACAUUACCGUAUUAAACCCGAAACCCAAGUUCGAAUCCUAGUUGAUUCAUAUUUACAGCUAAGUUUAUUUCUAAAUGAAAUAAACGAAGCGGGUAGCGUCCUACCUAUCUCUCCAAAGAAAAAAAAAAAAAAGUAGUAAUCUUAUUUAGAAAUCCAAUAUACCUAGAUAUAUCGAAAUACUAUGUAAUAUUACAUAACUCGAACCAAAAUACUUAACCUUGGUUAGUUAGUAAGGUAAAUUGUUCUUUUUGUCCAUAUGAUAUUAUACUUUCUUCUCUCAAUCAAAAUUCUAGUUCGAUCAAAACCCAAACAAUGGAAACUCUUCUUCCUCUUCCUCUUCCUCUCUCUCCUUCAUGCUAGUUUCGAACUCAUAACUAGAGUUUCUCCGUCCCUAUUCAUCCACGAUGUGUAUUGCUUCACCGAUAUCGAGAGCCAAAGAAUUAAUAUUAGAAUAGUGUAGAAACCCGCGCGAUACGGCAGAUAAAAAUUAUAAAUUAAAUAUUCAAAUAAAAUAUAAAAAUAUAGCAAAAAAUAAUCAAUAUUUGAUUGGUUAAUAAUAUAAAAAUAUAGUGAAUUUUUUUUA
rnacentral:lncRNA from 1 species